UACGAGGGGGGCGAGCGUUGUUCGGAAUUAUUGGGCGUAAAGGGUGCGUAGGCGGGUCUUUAAGUCAGGGGUGAAAUCCUGGAGCUCAACUCCAGAACUGCCCUUUGAUACUGAAGAUCUUGAGUUCGGGAGAGGUGAGUGGAACUGCGAGUGUAGAGGUGAAAUUCGUAGAUAUUCGCAAGAACACCAGUGGCGAAGGCGGCUCACUGGCCCGAUACUGACGCUGAGGCACGAAAGCGUGGGGAGCAAACAGG
rnacentral:rRNA from 1 species